UCCAAGGAAGCUCAACGCAGCAAUGCAGAAUUCCCGCAGAUAUUCAAGCCAGGCCUCGCUACAAAGUCUAAUGAAUUGCUGUGUACUAAGAGCUGCGUGAGGCAGAAGGCCAUAUUAUGACCUUGUGGGAGCAGCCCCACGUUGAAGCUGGACUGGAGGCUGCAGCAACCCAUCGUUAGAAUUGUCAGCUGUUGUCCAGGCGAGCCUUUUUGACAGCACAACUGUGGAUAAUCUGGGCCUGCCUUUCCUCCCCAACGGCCCUCCUCUUCUCGGUGAGAUAGCC